CCCAACUAUCCCUAUUAAUCAUUACGUCGAUCCUAGAAACCAACAAAAUAGGUUCGAACGUCCUAUUUCAUUAUUCCAUGCUAAUGUAUUCGAGCGAUUGCCUGCUUUAAACACUCUAAUUUUUUCAAAGUAACAGUCCUGACUCCCCGUAACACCAAAUGAAUGACAUCACGGCUCGUCAGAAGGGAGAAAUCAAUGACGUUAGUACGUACCGAGGCACGACCGACGUAUUGAUCCCGAAAUUCAACUACGAGCUUUUUAACUGCAACAACUUUAAUAUACGCUAUUGGAGCUGGAAUUACCGCGGCUGCUGGCACCAGACUUGCCCUCCAA
rnacentral:misc_RNA from 2 species